CUGGAAUGCAACUGACACUGAGGCACGAAAGCUAGGGGAGCAAACAGGAUUAGAUACCCUGGUAGUCCUAGCUGUAAACGGUGUACACUUGGUGUGGGGAGGAUUGACCCUCUCCGUGCCGGAGCUAACGCGUUAAGUGUACCGCCUGGGGAGUACGACCGCAAGGUUAAAACUCAAAGAAAUUGACGGGGGCCCGCACAAGCGGAGGAGCAUGUGGCUCAAUUCGAUGCAACGCGAAGAACCUUACCAGGACUUGACAUGCAGCUGCACGUCCCGUGAAAGCGGGAUUCCUUCGAGGGUGCUGCACAGGUGCUGCAUGGCUGUCGUCAGUUCGUGCCGUGAGGUGUUGGGUUAAGUCCCGCAACGAACGCAACCCUUGUGUCUAGUUGCCACCCCCGAUGAUGAGUCGGGGAGCACUUUAGACAGACUGCCCGUAUAGGGAGGAAGGUGGGGAUGACGUCAAGUCAGUAUGGCCUUUAUGUCCUGGGCUGCACACGUGCUACAAUGGCCGGUACAGAGGGAAGCAAAACCGCGAGGUGGAGCAAAUCCCAUAAAACCGGCCUCAGUUCAGAUUGAAGGCUGCAACUCGCCUUCAUGAAGUCGGAUUCGCUAGUAAUGGCGCAUCAGCUACGGCGCCGUGAAUACGUUCCCGGGCCUUGUACACACCGCCCGUCACAUCAUGAAAGCCGUCUGCACCAUACGUCGCUAAGCUAACCCGCAAGGGGGGCAGGUGCCUAAGGUGUGGGUGG
rnacentral:rRNA from 1 species